UUGCUUUGGCAGCACAUAUACUAAAAUCGGAAUGAUACAGAGAAGAUUAGCAUGGCCCCUGAGCAAAGAUGACAAAUAUAUGUAUUUAUAUAAAAUGUAUUUAU